GGAAUUGGGUACCCCUUUCUGAUUUGGAAAAAAAAAUGGACAACUUUGCAAAUCACUGAUGCUCAUGUUUCAUGGAAUGGAAUUACUGUGGAGAAGAAAUUGGUAGAGGAGGCCUUUGGCCUCACGCUCAGAAGCCUUCUCCGGCAGUCUCCCACCUCAGAACACUUCAUUUUUAUUUUGAAGCUUCAUGAAGUCCAGAAAUCUUUUCCAGAAGUCCCCAGGGAAAUCUGGCAUGCUGCAAAGACCUAUGCUUACAUUAAUGAAGGUGACCUAGAAGUAGAGGAGCUGUGACCUCCCAAUCUCUGAUGUUGAUCCAGCUAUACAGUUACUCAAGGAUGGAUGAAAAGGAUCUCCACUCUGUCUCAGGGAAUGGCCCUUCAUUUCUUCCUUCGAUAAAUUGGAGCAAUUUUAUGUAAUGGUUGAAUUUGCUCUGUUUUAUCUUCCGACUUUGUAACAAAUCCUGAUAUUUGUGCUUCUAAAGCAUUGGAAGAGUGGACCUCACUACUGCUGAAGUUCCCCUUGGAGUUUCAAAGAUGGCAUUGAAGCUGCAUGUGUUCUGGAGCAGAUGCCAACCAUAAUCAGUUUUACUACUUAAUUUAUUUACCUGGGAGGCCUGACACAAUGUACAUACAUUUACAUACACACACAUACACAUGAUCGAUCGAUCGAUAUAGAU